GAUGAACGCUGGCGGCGUGCCUAACACAUGCAAGUCGAACGGACGGACAGUAAGCUUGUGCUUUUGCGGGUGGCGGGUGGCGGGCGAGUGACGCAUGCAUCGCAAUCUUAUUUUUCGUGGGGGAUAACGUAAAAAAGGCUAUGCUAAUACCGCAUAUGUUGUACCGGUGGGUGCAAAAGAGAUUGUCAGCUUGUGUGUCUGUUAUAGCCGAUGUCGCAGUAGCUUGUUGGCGUGGUAAAGGCCCAGCAUGGCGACGAUACGUAGCUGAACUGAGAGGAUGAUAGGCCACACUGGAACGGAGACACGGUCAAGACUCCUACGGGAGGCAGCAGUGGGGAACAUGGGGCAAUGGGCGCAAGCCUGAUACAGCCAUACCGCGUGGGUGAAGAAGGCCUUCGGGUUGUAAAGCCCUUUUGUUGGGGAAGAAAAGCUGUAGAUUAAAACGAGGCUGUAUUGACGGUACCCAAUGAAUAAGCACCGGCUAACUACGUG
rnacentral:rRNA from 1 species